rnacentral:lncRNA from 1 species
GAGAGAUCAGGGCAGGGCGGCAGGAGCCUGGCAGCCAGCCGGCAGGUGUGCAGUUUGAUUCGAGAAGAAGGGAACCAUGGCUCAUCCCCCGAGGCUCACCAGACCCUCCAGCCGCUGUCCUCAGUUAGGUCACUGGGGAAUCUCCUGCCUCCUUGGUCCCCAGCUUCAGUGAUACCCAUUGGUAAAAGCUGUUGCAAUCAAGGGACCCCCUAGGCUGUGGCCAAAGCCAGUGCUUGGGGCUGGACUGGCAGCGCUGAUGUAACUGCUAACCCCUGAGUCCUGGUUGGCGGCUCCAUAAAGCUCUGCCAUCGGCCCAGGGCUGGUGGUGCCCAGAAAUCCACCGGUGCGACUGGGGGUGGAACCUGUCCCUCGCACCACAGCUGCCGCAGCUGCUGCUGCUGCCAUUGGUCCAUACGCAGUGAGGGGAAUUGCUGUGAGCUCAGGGAGGACGGGGGCACUCGGGAGAGGGGUCCGCUCUACACGGAACUCAGGGAACUGGUAAGUGUAACCAGGUGCAAUGCCAGUGUAACUUCGACUCGCGUAGGUGGCAGCUUGGAAGCCUGGAUAACCCAGCAUGCCGAUCCCGAGCAUGAAGGCAUCCAUCCCGUAAGGCAUGACUCGGGACCGCCCUCGUGCUGAGCCUGUUGGGGACAUCACCUCCUUGGGCUGGGCUUUUUUGCACUCCACCAUUUUGUUGUUAAUCUCAUGGAAGUGGAUUUCACAUACUUUUUCCACAAUGUCUUCACUUUCAAAUGUGACAAAUCCAAACCCUCGGUGUCGGUUGGUUGUCUUGUCAAACAUCAGCAUCGCAUCAUCCACCUUCCCAAACUGCUCGAAAUACUGUUUCACAUCCUCCACAGUAGUGUUCACUGACAGACCACCCACAAAUAUCUUCUUCGUUCGGGUCACCAUCUUGGGCUGUGCUCGGCGGGGGAACGCUACCUUCGGGUCAAUCGUCUUGGAGUCCAGUUCAUGUCUGGAUUGGGCCAGAACCUUGUCGACGCCAGCCUGGUCCAUGAACGUGACGAACCCGAAGCCCCUGGAUCUCUUUGUCAGCGGGUCCCGCAUCACCAGGCACUCUUUCACCUCGCCGAACUGGCUGAAGUACUCCCGCAGGCCCUCUUGCGUGGUCUGCCAGCUCAGUCCCCCGAUGAACAUUUUGCAGGGGUCGUGCGGGGAGUCCGGGGAGGCGAGGCCGGGCUGGCUGCCGUCUGUCUCCAUUCGGACCUCUUCUCCCUGCGAGGAGCGGCGCCGCACUCCCGGGGCAGAUGAGCGCUGGAAAAGGGGCCGGACGGACAGGCCAUGCUGCCCCCUCCCCCGACCCCUCUCCGCCGGGCGGGGAGGGAGCGAGGGAGGAGGGCCCGGCGGGCACAACCUGCCCGGCUCCUCCCACCCCCGCCGGCCCGCCGGCCGCCGUGCGCAUAAAACCCGCCGGUGGCGCCGGGCCGCGCUGGGACCGAACGCCGGGAGCCGCGCCCGGACCGCGCCGGAGGAGAACGGAGGCGGCGGGAACGGAACGGAACGGCGGCAGCGGCCCGGGGCCCCGCGGGCGCUUUGUCCUCGGCCGCGCCGCUCCGCACCUGCGCUGGCGGACAAAAGGCCGCGGGCUCUGCCCCACCGCGGCGGCCUCGGCCGGGCCGCGCUGCGCCGGGUCCUGCGGGUGCCCCGGGGCGAGGCCCGGCUCGGGCCGCUCGAGUUCGCCGCGGCGGCUCCGGAGCUCCCGGCGGCGGAGGAGGCACCGGCAGCGGGCGGGUUAAAGCCGGCGGGCUGAAGGCCCGGCCCGGCCCCCGGGGCUGCCCUGCCCGCCCGGAGCGCUCCCGAGGCCACGGCCCCCGCCGAGCGGAGGCUGCCGGUGGGCUCGGGCUCCCAGCGGGGCCGCGGGCGGGGAGGGGAGAGCUCGCACCCGGGGCUGCUGCCCGGAGCUCGGCGCUGCCCGCCCGGACGGCUCCUCCGGCGGAGCCCCGCACCGCGGCCGGACGGCCCUGCUUGCGGCACCGGAGCAGCGGUUCGGCGCGGCCCGGCCUGAGCCCCAACCCGCGGACGGAGCGGGGCGGCCCCGCCGCUCAGCAGCUCCUCGCUCGUACAAAUCAACAGAGCUGUGCCAAGCUCCGGCGUCUCGCUGCCCUCCCGCAAGUUCAGCCGUGUGCUGCGGGCCCCGCGCUCUGCUCAGCGCUCGGGCAAGCUGGCAUGGAGGAGCCCGGUGAGGAACAAGUGAAAUGUUGGGUGUCAGAUGAGAACUGGAGCCUCUCUGCCCUGCCUGCACAGCGCGUCGCCCUGAGAAAGGGCACUUGUUAGCAUUGGUGACACAUCAGAACGCAGCAGCACACAAAGCCUCUCUCAGGACAGGGGCACUGCAGGCUGACAGGCUGUUCCUGCUCUGUGCCACAGCGCUGCCAAACGUUCCCCUGCCCAUCUCCACACCUCAUCAGAGCCUUCCCCACAGAGCGAGGUGCCAAACGGCUGCAGAUAAUAAUGGAGAAGAGAGAAGAGGAUCAAAGCGAGCCACCAUCUGUGAACAUAAGAGGAAAAAGAGCAAUCUUCAGGAGGGGCUGGAUGGAGGAUGUGGUUGGAGCUGCAUCCCUGGCAGUGACAGCACACUGUACCACGUAACUUAUUCCAAGGCCCUUUCCAAAACACAGUCAUAUGUUGCGUUUCCACCUCUGGACCCCAAAGCCCUUUGGAAGUAUCAAUGCAUUUAUCUCUAUAACACACAAGCCUGAAAAAAUCUGUUGAUUAGUGACAGUAGGAAGCUUUCCUCACAGAGAAGUAAAUAUAUAAAACAUUCCAGACCUUAUGAUUGGAAAGAUGAUCUCCAAAUAUAAAAUAAUGCAGCAUUGUACUCCUGGGGCUGCAGACAGACAGCUGUAGUGCCUCUGUGGCUGCUGCUGAGAGGUUGCCAAACACCAGCGAGAUUAACAAAACUGCUCAGUUUUCUUGCUGCUAUUCAGCAUCUCGUGUGUGGUAGAGUGACACUAUCAAAAUCAUGUCCACUUCCUGCUGGGGUCGAUGAUUGGCAAAGUGCUGCCCAGCACCAGAGGCAGACACUGGAGUUAUUCAUGGGGAGAGGGAGGUUCCCAGAAGUGGAGGUUAGGGGAGGGGCAGGGCGGCAGGGCCUCCUUUGCUCUGCCAUCAUACGAGAGUGACAGAGAGACCAAGUCCUGGAGGCUUGGCUGUCCUGGAGGCUCAGCUGUGUCCCGGAGCCGGGAGGUUCUGGCCAGCGGGUACUCAGAGUUGUUUUGUUUUUCGUUCCAUUCGGACAGUUAAUAAACAAACUUGAACUGGAAUCCAAAUCACUCUUCUCCUAUUCAUGUUCCGACGCUGAACAAGCAAACCUGGAAGAUAUUAAGUGCAGCUCCAGGCAGCCCGGGGGCAAUGCCAGGCUCUGGAAGCAGCUUCUGGUCACGCUCCUGUGUGCUGGGGAAGUGAUGCUGACCCCCUGCAAGGCCAAGGGUAGAACUGCCCCACGCACUGCCACUGCGGCCACCUCUAAGGGAAUGGUUCGGCCGCUGUCUGCCUCGAGGGCACUGGGCUGGGGAGGCAGCAGGCACAGCCAGGGAGAACAGCUACUGAAAUUGAAGUGCUGAGGCUUUGCUCUGGUUGUGGGCAGGACAACAC